ACAGCAGUAGAUCAGUGAAAAAGAAGAGGAAAAGGAAGAGGUGGAACUGUUAGUUUUAGAAAUACUCUUUCAGAGUGCAAAAAAGAGACAACUCUCGUGUCUUUAACUGCUGGUGAAAAUUAUCAAGAGCUCUUCAAAAUACAGGCAGAUCCACAGGAGCAGGAGUUCAAUCAUCCAUGAUGAAGAACCUCCUGUUCUUUACCGUCUUGAUCAUGGGUCAUGUAGGCGGUGCUAGUGACACUGGGACUGACAUCACAGUAGGAGGUGUCAUUGUUUCAUUUGAAUACCCAGAAAACGCUAAAGAAAGUGAAAAAAGCUUUUGCAAAAUGUCAAAUAACAAGUGUACAACCCUGACAACUCCACAGGAUCAUUUAUGGAUUCCGAAGGAGAGAUUCUCGAUGACUGAUAACAUGACCUUGAAAUUCAUCAGUGUGCUCAUUAGAAACUUGACAAUAAAUGAUACAGGAGAGUACAAAUGUAAAGCAGGAAGGGAAUGGUCUGAGGAUGUGACAUUAAAUGUGCAACAUGAACCCUACAGUGGGCCAUCAGAGGAGCUGACUGCUUAUUUAAGAGGAACUGUUACAAUCAGAUGCAAAUAUCCAGAGAAAUAUAAAGAUUUUUCAAAGCAUUUGUACAAAGUCCAUAAUAGAUCCCUCCAGACUGUUAUUACUGCCAUUGGAGAUUCACACAGACAAGGGAGAUUUUCUCUGAAUGUAGACUCGCAGGAAAAUGUCUUCACUGUGACUUAUUAAUGUGAACAGACGUGAUGAGGGGAUCUAUUUCUGUGGAAUAUGCUACUCAUUGGGCAAAAUUAGCCACAGCUCCCUCUUAACAGAAGUUCAUCUGCAUGUUACAGAUGAUGCAGGUUCAUUGAAGACUAUGACGACACCAAAACCCCGAACAAAAUUUAUCUCCACAAAACAAACAGUAUCUGCACAUUUUACCGUCACCACUCUGACUUCAUCAUCAUCAUCAACACAUUCAUAUGCAGAGUCACUAAAACUGAAAUCAGAUUUUAUUGCGAUAAUCAUGCUGUCGGUUACAGUGACUCUGCUUGUGUUCGGUUUUUCACUCUUUGUGUAUUUUCGACAGAGUCAAGAGAAAAAAGGUAAAGAU